rnacentral:lncRNA from 1 species
UUAGAUAUGUGAGGGGGAUGCUGGUUUUUGGCAAGAAGUCUUUUUCGAGCGGGUUUCUGCAUAUUGUGCCUCAUGUAAGUACCUUGGCCAUUAUGUGGAUACAGACUAUAUUGCUAAUCCUGGGCUUUGUAAGCCUAAUCAACCUAUUGGUGAGUCCAAGGGAAUCGUGACCUAAGAUAAGGUAAAUUACUAGUUUCAGAAGCUAUUGUUUAGUCUCGGGUUCCCUAUGUUUAGCAAUACAUUAUCAUAGCUGAUAAUCAGCCUCAAGUGCUGAAUUUAUAGCCUUUUGUGGAUUAGGGUCAGAGUUUGGGAUCUACUUUGCCUAUUUCUAUAGAGUCUCGUCCAUUGAGGCCUAAAAUCCCUAAUAAAAAUCCUUUAGCUCCUAGCGUUUCAUCUCCUACUGGCCAGAGUUUGAAGAUUGAUUAGGUUCAGCCUUCUAAUGCUAUCAAUGUUGUCUUGAAUGCCCCAGCUAAUCAUCCGAGGCCUAUGGGCGACCAUUUAUGUGUGGCGCUUAAAUCAUAUUGCACUAAUAUUCUUAGAUUUAUUGAUGAGGAGGGUGAUGGUCGUUUAGGUUUAUCUCGCUCAGAUGGGGAUGCUGUUUCUGAUGAUUGGGUUUCCAAUGAUGAGUGUCGAUUUUUGAAUGAUCUAGAGGACAUUCAUACUCCUCUGGCCCCAGAUGUAGUUAUUGAUAGCUUUGAUGGCCAGAGGGUUGCCACUUCACCUUAUGAUUUUUUUUUUUGUUACAAGUCGUAAGUACCGUAACACUCGUAAGUAGAUGCAUUCUUGCUCAUCCACCCAUAAUGAUUAAUUCACUUAUCUAGAAUAUUAGGGGGAUUAGUAAGGCCCCACGGUCCGCAGAUUGUGGAAGUUAAUUCGGUUGCAUCGAUUGUCUUUGAUUUAUGUGUUAGAGCCUUUUAUUUAUGCUGACUGGUUAUAAGCUAUUUAGGUUCAGCUUGGGAUAGAUCAUGCUUUCUCUUAUCACUUUGGAAAGAUCUAGGUUUUUUGGUCUAUGCCUUUUUUGGUAGAGCGCUUACACGAUAUGGGUCAGGUGAUUCAUUAUCGGGUUAGUCAUUCUCUUUUUCCUAACCCUAUGUUUUUUUUUUCAUGUGUAUGUUAGUCAUUCUAUACAUAUGUAAGAGGAUUUAUGGGAUGCCCUUGUGACUUUUACUGAUAGUCAUAAUUGAUCUUGGAUUGUGGGGGAGGGGAUUUUAAUGUUGUACAGUCUGUUUCGGAGAUCUCUAGUAAGCAUGCCCAACUCCAUGAGGCUAUUGAUGCUUUUAGUUUAACAUUACUAGACUGUGGUUUAGAGGAUACUGGAUUUGUUGGCGGUCCAUUCACUUGGACUAGGGCAUAUAUGGAAGUGGCUUGAUAGGGUGCCUAUUGGUAUGCAUUUUUCUUUAUUUUCGAGUCACACACCUGAAUUGUAUUGCUUCAGAUCGUUCUCCUUUGCUUUUAUCUUAGAUAGAGAUGUGCCUAAUCGGCCUUCCAAGUUUAAGUUUUUGCAUGCGUGGCUUAAACAUCCUUUUCUUGAUGUUGUGUGACAAUCUUAGGCUGCUUCAGUGGUUGGUUUUGGGAUGAGAGCUUUUCAGUAGAAGCUUGUCCACUUUAACUUGAAAGUAUAGAAUAAGGAUGUGUUUGGUAAUGUCUUUUCUCAGGUUAAGGAGGUAGAAAAAGAUGUUGCUUAGAAGGAGAUCUUUCUGGUUCUGCUCUAGACAGAGCUAUCUUUUCUUUGGCUUGGGCUUGGUUACAACACGCAUUUCUUUGUAAGGAGAUUUUUUUUUACGUCAGCAGUCUAGUGUCCGUAAGGUUCGAAAGUGGGAUGCUAAUACCUGCUUUUUCCAUGCGAUGAUUCAGAAGAAACGCCAGCUGUUUCAUAUCCAUCGGAUUCAGGAUGCUUCUUCAGAGUGGAUUUCUAAGCCGUUUGUCGAUGUUGCUUUCACAAUUGAUUUUUUUGAGGGGUUGUUGGUAGGAUGUGGUAGUUAGUUUCAGCAGACAGAUUUUGAUUUUGUUUUGUUUUUAAGGACAAUAGAAAAUGAUGUGGGUUUGUGUAGAGAGCCGAAUAUAGAUGAGAUUUGGCAGGUGGUUUUUCCUAUUGAUCCUGAUAGUGCUUCUGGUCCGGAUGGGUUUUGCAGUAAAUUUUACCAGUCAUGCUAGGAUAUUAUUUGUAACAAUUUACUAGAUACCAUUCUCGAUUAUUUCAAAGGUUCGGCUAUGCCCAAGGGUUUUCAGAGUAUAUAUAUUUUUUUGAUAUUAAUCACGAGGUAUCCUGGGGAGAGCCCCAACUGUGGGAGACACCUUUAAGCCCGUACCACAACCCAGACUAGAAGUCCCCGCUCGAACCGGGAGGCACAGGUUCUCCCAACAAAGGUGACUUCCCUGCGACUCGAACUCGAACCGGGAGGCACAGGUUUUCAGAGUAUAUUAUUUGUUCUUUUUCCUAAGAAGCAUUCUCUAGCUUCUUAGGCAUACUUUCAUCCAAUUUGACUUUGUAAUGUGAGCAACAAGCAACAAGGUUUUGACCAAGUUGCUUAUGUUGACAUUGGCUCCUCUGCGGCCUCAUAUUAUUUCUCUUAGUCAUAGUGGUUUAAUCUUUGGUCGGGUGAUUCAUAACUUCCUUUUUGUUCAGGUACUCAUUCAUGAUCUCAACCAUCGCACUCGGGGGAGUAAUGUAGUGUUGAAGCUUGAUAUGGCCAAGACUUAUGAUCGUACAUCUUGGCCUUUUAUUAUUCAGAUGUUGUGGCGUUUUGGUGUUUUAAGCAGUGGGUUUCUCUGAUUUGGCAUGAUAUCUAUGGGUGUUUAUUUUGGUAUUCUCCCUUUGGCUGCGCUAGCUGUUCCUCACAUUAGACACUAGUAUUAAUGGUUUUCCUUUUCUUUUUUCCGUUUUUAUUUAUUUUUGGUUAUUUGUAUGUAUUUUUAGUUACUCUUGGAGGUUUUGAAUUAUGUCCCCCGUCUUGUGCAUCUGCUUCAUUUCAUGAUUUAUAUUAUAGGUAGAAAUCCCGCCUAACCCCCCACCUUUCAGUGGUUUUUAAUUAAAAAAAAUUAUCUCACCAACUGUAAGCA